rnacentral:rRNA from 1 species
CCUACGGGAGGCAGCAGGGGGGAAUAUUGGACAAUGGGGGAAACCCUGAUCCAGCGACGCCGCGUGAGUGAAGAAGUAUUUCGGUACGUAAAGCUCUAUCAGCAGGAAAGAAAAUGACGGUACCUGACUAAGAAGCCCCGGCUAACUACGUGCCAGCAGCCGCGGUAAUACGUAGGGGGCAAGCGUUAUCCGGAUUUACUGGGUGGAAAGGGAGCGUAGACGGCAGCGCAAGUCUGGAGUGAAAUGCCGGGGCCCAACCCCGGAACUGCUCUGGAAACUGUGAAGCUGGAGUGCAGGAGAGGUAAGCGGAAUUCCUGGUGUAGCGGUGAAAUGCGUAGAUAUCAGGAGGAACACCGGCGGCGAAGGCGGCUUACUGGACUGUAACUGACGUUGAGGCUCGAAGGCGUGGGGAGCAAACAGGAUUAGAUACCCCGGUAGUC